UACGUAGGGGGCAAGCGUUGUCCGGAAUCAUUGGGCGUAAAGCGCGCGUAGGUGGCUUCGUAAGUCCGUUGUGAAAGUCAAAGGCUCAACCUUUGAAAGCCGAUGGAUACUGUGAAGCUAGAGUACGGAAGAGGCGAGUGGAAUUCCUGGUGUAGCGGUGGAAUGCGCAGAUAUCAGGAGGAACACCAAUAGCGAAGGCAGCUUACUACACAGUUAUUGACACUGAGGCACGAAAGCGUGGGGAUCAAACAGG
rnacentral:rRNA from 1 species